rnacentral:rRNA from 1 species
GACGGAGGAUGCAAGCGUUAUCCGGAAUGAUUGGGCGUAAAGCGUCCGCAGGUGGCAGUUCAAGUCUGCUGUCAAAGACCGGGGCUUAACUUCGGAAAGGCAGUGGAAACUGAACAGCUAGAGUAUGGUAGGGGCAGAGGGAAUUCCUGGUGUAGCGGUGAAAUGCGUAGAGAUCAGGAAGAACAUCGGUGGCGAAGGCGCUCUGCUGGACCAUAACUGACGCUGAGACGCGAAAGCUAGGGGAGCGAACAGG